AACGCGAAGAACCUUACCCAGAUUUGACAUGCACAGGACGAUUUCAGAAAUGGAAUUUCCCUUCGGGGCCUGUGCACAGGUGCUGCAUGGCUGUCGUCAGCUCGUGCCGUGAGGUGUUUGGUUAAGUCCAGCAACGAGCGCAACCCUUGUCACUAGUUGCCAGCACGUAAUGGUGGGAACUCUAGUGAGACUGCCUAGGUUAACUAGGAGGAAGGUGAGGAUGAGGUCAAGUCCGCAUGGCCCUUAUAUCUGGGGCUACACACGUGCUACAAUGGACGGUACAGAGGGCAGCGAAGCCGCGAGGUGAAGCAAAUCCCAGAAAGCCGUCCCCAGUUCAGAUUGUAGUCUGCAACUCGACUACAUGAAGUCGGAAUUGCUAGUAAUGGCGUGUCAGCCACAACGCCGUGAAUACGUUCCCGGGCCUUGUACACACCGCUCGUC
rnacentral:rRNA from 1 species